UACAGAGGGGGCAAGCGUUGUUCGGAAUUACUGGGCGUAAAGGGCGCGUAGGCGGCCUUCUAAGUCGAACGUGAAAUCCCCGGGCUCAACCCGGGAACUGCGUCCGAUACUGACAGGCUUGAAUCCGGGGAGAGGGAUGCGGAAUUCCAGGUGUAGCGGUGAAAUGCGUAGAUAUCUGGAGGAACACCGGUGGCGAAGGCGGCAUCCUGGACCGGCAUUGACGCUGAGGCGCGAAAGCCCAGGGGGAGCAAACAGG
rnacentral:rRNA from 1 species